rnacentral:rRNA from 1 species
UACGUAGGGGUGCAAGCGUUUGUCCGGAAUUAUUGGGCGUAAAGAGCUCGUAGGCGGUUUUGUUGCGUCGGCUGUGAAAUCCCGAGGCUCAACCUCGGGUCUGCAGUCGAUACGAGCAAACUAGAGUGUUGCAGGGGAGACUGGAAUUCCUGGUGUAGCGGUGAAAUGCGUAGAGAUUAGGAAGAACACCGGUGGCGAAAGCGCUUGCUGGGGUCUGCACUGACACUGAGGGACGAAAGCCAGGGGGAGCGAAAGGGAUUAGAAACCCUAGG